AUCACCUGGGGAAUCUUGCUAAAUGCAGAUUUUGAUUCAGAGCAUUAAGAUGUGGACUUCCAGUCUGCAUUUCUAACAAGCUCUCAGGUGAUGCCA
rnacentral:miRNA from 1 species